AUACAGUGUAAGUGAGCUACUCCCGAGCCCAGAUAGGAUUUAGUUAUUAAAAGUGAGUAGUACUACUGUUUGAGUAAAAGUUAGACAGUGUUACUGUGACUACUGACUAAGGCUUCUCAUACUGAACUUGAAGGAUCACUCACACAGAGGACAAAACAGAAAAAACGUCUGAUAAAACUGCAGUUCCUCACAAUAAAAUGACAGCUCUUAAGAUUGUUCAAAUAGAAUGAAGACCAGCUCUAUAAACGACAUUAAAACAAAUAGUUUUGAGCUGAUUGGAACUCUGGGUCCAAUUCAUGAAGGCAGGUCUUUGAAGGCGUUAGAAAAGUCCCCUUUAUCAAAAUGUUCUCUGGGCUGGCUCAGUCCAGUCCAACCUGCGUUGAGUAAUAUGUGUAUUCAAGCUUCAGGCAGAUAGCUGUGAGGGAAGGUUCUCUUUUCUUUCUCCCCAGCAAACAUGAACCCAUUGGCCCCAUGUGGGUAUUUGGUGGGCAAGUUGGGCUAGCCUAAGCCAGCCCAACACAGGCUAGCCCACACCAACCCAACACAGGCUAGCCCAUACCAACCCAACACAGGCUAGCCCAUACCAACCCAACACAGGCUAGCCCAUACCAACCCAACACAGGCUAGCCCACACCAACCCAACACAGGCUAGCCCACACCAACCCAACACAGGCUAGCCCACACCAACCCAACACAGGCUAGCCCACACCAACCCAACACAGGCUAGCCCAUACCAACCCAACACAGGCUAGCCCACACCAACCCAACACAGGCUAGCCCAUACCAACCCAACACAGGCUAGCCCACACCAACCCAACACAGGCUAGCCCACACCAACCCAACACAGGCUAGCCCAUACCAACGAAACACAGAAUAGCCCACACCAGCCCAACACAGGCUAGCCCAUACCAACUAAACACAGAAUAGCCCACACCAGCCCAACACAGGCUAGCCCAUACCAACUAAACACAGAAUAGCCCACACCAGCCCAACACAGGCUAGCCUAUACCAACUAAACACAGG
ensembl:lncRNA